rnacentral:rRNA from 1 species
AUUGAACGCUGGCGGCAGGCCUAACACAUGCGAGUCGAGCGGAUGAAGGGAGCUUGCUCCUGGAUUCAGCGGCGGACGGGUGAGUAAUGCCUAGGAAUCUGCCUGGUAGUGGGGGAUAACGUCCGGAAACGGGCGCUAAUACCGCAUACGUCCUGAGGGAGAAAGUGGGGGAUCUUCGGACCUCACGCUAUCAGAUGAGCCUAGGUCGGAUUAGCUAGUUGGUGGGGUAAAGGCCUACCAAGGCGACGAUCCGUAACUGGUCUGAGAGGAUGAUCAGUCACACUGGAACUGAGACACGGUCCAGACUCCUACGGGAGGCAGCAGUGGGGAAUAUUGGACAAUGGGCGAAAGCCUGAUCCAGCCAUGCCGCGUGUGUGAAGAAGGUCUUCGGGUUGUAAAGCACUUUAAGUUGGGAGGAAGGGCAGUAAGUUAAUACCUUGCUGUUUUGACGUUACCAACAGAAUAAGCACCGGCUAACUUCGUG